GCGGCUGCCCGCGCGCCUGCGCCCUCUGCUGCUCCGCUCCGGGCGCGUCUGUGCGUCUGGGUCUGUUUGGAGAGGCUUGGGUGACAGGCGAGGGGUGGGGGAAGAGUUCAGCUUGACUCACAGUCUCAUUCACUGAUUUCGCCCGCUGGACCGAGGCUGCCUCCCCAGGCGGUUCCUAACUACCCUCGCACCUCCGAGGUCCCCACUGCCGCCUCUCCACUUUCAGCGACGGACCGACCGGCCGACUCUCGACAGCAUCACAAAAGCGCGCCGCAGAAUGAAACCCAAGGCAGCGAAGUCCUGCUCUCCUCUCCCACCUGGUGCACAUUCCCACCCCUACCCGCGGCUGGAGGAAUGGAGUGGGAGUCCCCGAGAUUAGGGAAACAGGUUUACCCCGGGGACACACCUGUUUCCCGCCCGCGCUGAAAUCAAGCUGGGUGCCGGAUCGCACGAAGGGUUCCGAUGCAGAAACGCCGGGGUGUUGGCAGCUUUGCGCCCGAGGGUUUCGCGAGCAGAGGCGGCGAGGACAGGGCGUCUCUGGCCCAGUCAGCCAGGAAGCAUGCGGUUCGGGCAGCAGCGCUAAGCGCCCCCACGCUGGGCACGGGGCGUACGAGCUCCGCGCGGCUAGCAGAGCGGCGGCGGUGGAGGGGAUGCACCCGGGACGCGCCAGGCUCCUGCCGCGAGCUACCAACCCGAGGUGGACCCUAAGUAGGGCUCAUCGCAGGACCGCGCAGACCCCUGCCCUCCGGGGCACGCGGCUGCGGAGCCUCGGGGACGUGUCUGCGGUCAGGAUGCCCUGGGCACCUCUCAGCUGGUGAGGAUGUCCUGCUGCGCGGCUCUGCAUCCACAGCCCCAGACCCUGGUGAACACGACUGCCUGGGCCCGGCAUUGGCCCCUCGUGCCGGUGGAUGAAAAACGCUGGAGUCCUUGAAUGCAUUAGCGAUC
rnacentral:lncRNA from 1 species